CACGUAGGGGGCGAGCGUUGUCCGGAUUUAUUGGGCGUAAAGAGCUCGUAGGCGGCUUGGUAAGUCGGGUGUGAAAACUCCGAGCUCAACUCGGAGACGCCAUCUGAUACUGCCAUGGCUAGAGUCCGGUAGGGGAGCGCGGAAUUCCAGGUGUAGCGGUGAAAUGCACAGAUAUCUGGAGGAACACCGAUGGCGAAGGCAGCGCUCUGGGCCGGUACUGACGCUGAGGAGCGAAAGCGUGGGGAGCGAACAGG
rnacentral:rRNA from 1 species